rnacentral:pre_miRNA from 1 species
UAUUAAAAAUUUCAUCCAUUUCUACUAAAAAAAUUAGAGUGGCUGAUAGAAUAACUAGACAAUUAGACAUGGUGCAUACCUCAUGCUAGUAUACAUAGGCUAGUUUUUAAUAGAAAAAAUGGAUGAAAUUUAUAAUA